rnacentral:lncRNA from 1 species
GGGUUUUCUAUGUAGCGGUGUUUUAAUAGAAUAGAAAAUUGGGACAAACCAAAUUUCCAUCACAAAGGAAAUAGUAAUACACUGAAUAAUAAUACAGCAAAUAUUAUGCAGGCUUUAAACAUCAAAAAGGAGCUCAACUUCUGACUUCCGAUGAUGGUGUUGAAGUAGGUCACAGCUGGUUUACAUUUGAUUUUCAUGUGGGAACUCUGGAAGUCUGCCUUAGUGAUUUUACAUGCAGCUAAAUUUAGCUAAUGAAAAACUAUUCGAAGUAUGGCAAAAUGGAACUUUAAAACAGUAUCUUGUCAACAACCAAGAGGACCUGUUUCACAUAAAGCCCAUGCAUUCAUCUGCCUGUCCAUCAUUCUGUCUGUCCAUCAUUCUGUCUGUCCACACGGGCAUCAUUUGUUAGUGGAACUGAGUGCCCACUGUCGAGCUGACAAGCCCAUAACCUCCCUGUUCCUAGUCACACAUUAAUUCUUCAACAAGUCCCUUUUGAUAGAUUGUGAUUAAGCUUAGCUGCUAUUUCCAAUUGCUUCCCCAAACAUACUUAUCACUGUUCUCCCAUCACACCCUCCAGCCCAUCCAUGCAGGUUUCCUUUGCUUUUCUCACCUUACACCAAACUCCCUAUUUUUACUCCCACUUUUACCUUCUCUCCAAGACAAAACAAACAAAACUAGCAUUUUAAAACUUAGUUGUAAUCUUUCUUCCUUCAUGAAAAUUUCUCCAACAGCUACUCCCAUGGCCCUGUGUGUUCCGGAUUUUUUUAAAUAUUGGCUAUAAGGUUGAGCAAGUCAGGAUAUGCUUUUUUGGGGUGCACACUGUUUUGUUUGUAUUGAUUCUUCCUAUUGGAGGCGUGGUCAUUGCCUUCUCCUCUGGGGAGUUUAUGCCAGUGCUCUUCAAUAAGAUUGGCAGGCAAUUUUUCUUUUUGUACUUAAUUUUUUUGUAUGGUAUUGAGAUAAUAUUCUCAUCAGAUUAAUUGAAAGUAGCCCCCUUCAUUAAUUUUAUGGAAAUAUUUUAAUGGGAUUAGAAUGACAACUCCACUGUAAUUUUGGAUUUAGCCAAUAAUACUAUUAGGGCUCUGUGUGUGAGAGAGAAAAAGAGAGAAAGGGAAAGAAAGAGACAAAGACCCGUACUUCUUAACUACUGAUUAAAUUUACAUAGAAGCUACUGAACUAUUCAGGAUUUUUAUUUCUUCAUGAGUUCAUUUUAGAAAAUUAUACUUUCUAGGAUUUUGUCUAUUUUGUACACAUUUUAAAAUGUCUUGGCAUGAUAUCCUUAUUCAUAUAUGUUUACAUACAUAAUGAAUACAUAUGUAGAUUUGAAUACAUAUAUUUAUUCAUAAUAUCCACUGUUUUGUAAUCUCUGCUACUUCUGUGGUUAUGUCUUCCGAUGAAUUUCUGAUAUGAAUUUUGAUUAUUUCCCUUUUUUCUUGAUAAAUCUCACUAAUGAUACCAUAUGGACCCUGCGGGGAGACGGAGAGGACGAAGGGUGUGGCGACAGUUUAUUUCUUUGCCUUUUGCACAUAUCCCAUGAGAUUCUGGCAAGGCUGAGAGUGCAGUUACCUCGACGGACGCCGGGG